rnacentral:misc_RNA from 1 species
UUUCCGUAGGUGAACCUGCGGAAGGAUCAUUAUUGUAUAGCCGAGGUGCGAGGGCUGUCGCUGACCCGAAAGGUCGUGCACGCCCGAGUGCCCUCACACAUCCAUCUCACCCCUAUGUGCACCACCGCGUGGGUCCCCCUUUGGCUUGUUCGGAGGGGGGCUUACGUUUUCACACAAACUUUGUAUGCAGUGUAGAAUGUAUUUUUUGUUUUUGCGAUCACGCAAUCAAUACAACUUUCAACAACGGAUCUCUUGGCUCUC